AGGGCCUUGAGGCCAAGGUCUCUUCAGUGUUGAGUUCGUGGUUUCAGUUCAACAUUCAGAAGUGGCCUGUCUGCUGUGUCACGGGACACUGCUGGUCCCUCACUCAGGGCUGCUUGUCCCUGCCGCCCCGGGCCAGGUUCUGGCUGCAGGCCCCAGUGGUCUCCUGGCAAGAGCGUGCGUGUUUGCACCGUACAGAAUUAUUACUGUGCCAACGGUCACAGAUAACUCUCUGAGACCGGGGAAGGAACCUUUGGCCGAUUCGUGGAACCAGGAGCGAAGGGUCCACGCAGCGUGCUGUUCUGAGAUGUGCCCCGUGGUCGGCAGUCAGCGGUCGGCUCGGUCACCUCAGUGGCCCUGCUCCCUACACCCAGCCUGCACAGCGUCCAGCUCCGUAAACUCAGCUGUGAUGUGCUGGCCACAGGCAGGAGGACCCCGCAGGACCACGUCUGCCUGGGGCAGCACAACCGGGAUUUGAAUGAGGUGUAGUCCAAAAAGUUGUUGUAGCCGCGGCACACGGCCUCCGGGACCCUGCCCUGGCAGAGUGACCUGCACAGCGCAGACGCAGGAGGGGAAUUGCUGCUCUCCUAAAACACGUGGAGACUGCCGGAGGGGCAGCCCCGCUGCGACCCUGGUGGUGGCACUGUGAGGGCGGCCAGUGUGUUGGUAGAACGUCGGGGUUGGGCCUGGGGCUGCCGGGGCUGCCAGGGGACUGUGGCCCCAGGGCUGCGGGGGAAAAUGAGCACAUAUCUUGUUCACAUUUCUGGCAAACUUCUUGCAAAGGAUAAGACAGAAAUUCAAGAAAUGUACACUUUUAUUAGUACUUUUAUUAACAUGCGCAUUGAUGUAAAAGAAUACAUCUCACAUGUAUGGUACCGAGAAUAAUCAAAUAAAUCCCCUCUUAGCUG